rnacentral:rRNA from 1 species
GACGAACCGUGCAAACGUUAUUCGGAUUCACUGGGCUUAAAGCGCGUGUAGGCGGGCCGGCACGUCGGAUGCUGAAAGCCCCCGGCUCAACCGGGGAACGGGCACCGAUACGACCGGCCUGGAGGGGGUAGGGGGAGCCGGAACUUCCGGUGGAGCGGUGAAAUGCGUUGAGAUCGGAAGGAACGCCCGUGGCGAAAGCGGGCUCCUGGACCCCACCUGACGCUGAGACGCGAAAGCCAGGGGAGCAAACGGG